rnacentral:rRNA from 1 species
AGAGCGAACGCUGGCGGCAGGCCUAAUACAUGCAAGUCGAGCGGCCACUUCGGUGGCAGCGGCGGACGGGUGAGUAACGCGUGGGAAUGUGCCCUUUGGUACGGAACAACUGAGGGAAACUUCAGCUAAUACCGUAUGUGCCCUUCGGGGGAAAGAUUUAUUGCCAUUGGAGCAGCCCGCGUUGGAUUAGCUAGUUGGUGGGGUAAAGCCCACAAGGCGACGAUCCAUAGCUGGUCUGAGAGGAUGAUCAGCCACACUGGGACUGAGACACGGCCCAGACUCCUACGGGAGGCAGCAGUAGGGAAUCUUGCGCAAUGGGCGAAAGCCUGACGCAGCCAUGCCGCGUGAAUGAUGAAGGUCUUAGGAUUGUAAAAUUCUUUCACGGGAAGAUAAUGACGGUACCGGAGAAGAAGCCCGCUAACUUCGUGCCAGCAGCCGC